GGCAACUAGUUGUGAACAAGGAAUUCUGAGCAGAAGUGAUGAUUGUCAUUUCCAGGCUGGAGCUUUAAAUUGCAGAUCGGAGAGUCUCUGAGCCCCACUUCCCUCUGCUGCUGGCAAUUCUGUCAGCCCAGGAGCUACAGAGCAGGUUCCAGAGCUACCCAUCAAAGGACAUGGAGACGGCUAGAAAUAAAACAAUUUCAUUCUGAAUGAGAACAAGAUUGCUAAACAUCACUCUUGGAGCAAUCUAGGAUUCACAUCUCCAUGUUCUGGACUCAGAAUUUAAAUGGGCAAACGAAUGCAGAAGACUUUCAGACCACUCUCCCUUCUUCAUAUGUCUGGCUUCUUCCCAUCUCCCAAAUUCAACAUUAAGAUCAUAUUCUUACAUAAAGUUCUCCAUGACUGUUAAGCAA